rnacentral:rRNA from 1 species
CCUACGGGUGCAGCAGUGGGGAAUAUUGGACAAUGGGCGAAAGCCUGAUCCAGCCAUGCCGCGUGUGUGAAGAAGGCCUUCGGGUUGUAAAGCACUUUCAGUGGGGAAGAAAGCCUUGGGGCUAAUACCCUCGAGGAAGGACAUCACCCACAGAAGAAGCACCGGCUAACUCCGUGCCAGCAGCCGCGGUAAUACGGAGGGUGCGAGCGUUAAUCGGAAUUACUGGGCGUAAAGCGCGCGUAGGCGGUCUGAUAAGCCGGUUGUGAAAGCCCCGGGCUCAACCUGGGAACGGCAUCCGGAACUGUCAGGCUAGAGUGCAGGAGAGGAAGGUAGAAUUCCCGGUGUAGCGGUGAAAUGCGUAGAGAUCGGGAGGAAUACCAGUGGCGAAGGCGGCCUUCUGGACUGACACUGACGCUGAGGUGCGAAAGCGUGGGUAGCAAACAGGAUUAGAUACCCUAGUAGUC